UGUUUGUUCCCGACUUGUGUUUCAGACCCUGUAUUCAGGCUUUUGAGGAAGAUGGCACACUGGGACUGAAGAAAGAAAAACAGCUUUCUGUCAAUGACGCAGCACGCAGAUAUGCAGUAUAGAAUGUCAGUUACACAACCUGGCAAUGGUUUCCACGGCUGCGGAGCAGCUAAAGCUCUGCUUUAACCCAGAGAUGGAAAAUCCAGGUUCAGAAAAUUUGGUUUAGCCAUGUCCCUCCAUGGUCCGGAGCCAAACUCUGACCGCGCCCAAUGCUGACUGGCCAGCGGCCCUGCAGAGUAGCAUUGGACCGAUUGGGCUGCUGUAGUUCGUCUGCACCAGCUGCACAUGAAGCUAACUCCUUCAACGCAGCAAUUACGCCACGGCUCAGCCAGUGCAGUGUGGAGUGACAGGAAGAGAAGGAUCACAAUGCUUCAGAAAAGAGCUGCUUGUCUGUUCUGUCCAGAUGGAGGAUGCUACCACAAAUAAAUGCUUCCAGUGUGAAUUUGAGUAAUUGGAACACAUGCAGCCAGGGAAAGGUGAAGCAAGACACAUGGGACUACUGAACUUUUCACCGAGGAGCAGAACAUCCUGAGCAUGCUGCUAGGACAGACUGCACUCCGAUCAACUCAAUUCUAGUUGUUCUUU